rnacentral:ncRNA from 16 species
AAUUGUUGAGGGCGGAACAGGCAGCCGCCACGCCUUUUUAUAAGGUCUUAAAAGAGAUGCAGAUUGCCACCUGCCAAUAAUU